UACGUAGGGUGCGAGCGUUAAUCGGAAUUACUGGGCGUAAAGCGUGCGCAGGCGGGCUUUUAAGCCAGACGUGAAAUCCCCGGGCUUAACCUGGGAAUGGCGUUUGGGACUGGGAGUCUGGAGUGCGGCAGAGGAGACUGGAAUUCCUGGUGUAGCAGUGAAAUGCGUAGAUAUCAGGAGGAACACCGAUGGCGAAGGCAGCUCGCUGGGACGGUACUGACGCUGAGACGCGAAAGCGUGGGGAGCAAACAGG
rnacentral:rRNA from 1 species